GGGUGUUGUGCGCCUGCGCGGACGUCGAUGGGCUACUGGGAGCCGCGGGGCGCUGGGUCGGGGCUGCGGCUGGGCCUAUCUUGGCCUCAGUUCUUUUAUGGGUUUUAUUAGGGGCGAGUCGGCGACCCGCCACUGCCAGCCGUGCGCCCCCCUCAGCGUCCUGCCUUGUCGCUUCCGCUUCGCCACACCUGGGCGGUCGCGGUGGAGAUGUCAGUAUAAGGCUAAGGAGGAGAGAUGCCCGUUCAAAAUGAGGCCACAGAGAUUUGGUAUUUUGUAAGCCCCAUAGUCCCAACAUUUUUGAAAAGGAAAAAUCAUUUACUGUUUUUGGUAAGCUGGCGCCGUAGGCCGAAUGAAAGUGCAGCUCAGUACCCACUCUGAAGAUAAGAAUUGAACAUGACUCCGGCCCCUGGCCCUGAUCUGGAGCUUCGAAUUUAAUUUAUCAAGCCUUCCUACCACCAACAAAGGGAAAAGCGUCCAUUAAAGGCAGUCUGACUCCUGGCGUGUACCCCCAGCUUUAGAAUAGUAGUCAUUGUUACUUCGAAAUACAUAAAUACUAACUUUCCUGCCAUCUAGCGCCUAUGUAACUGCUGGAACAAGUACCCAAGUCCUCAAUAUUCCUGGCAGCCUAAAGUACCAACUGAGAAACUCGUCACCAGUUUGCAAAGUGCAGCCGCAGAAGAGCCCUCUCCACCCGACUGACUUAGUCCUGCUGCCCUGAACAAACAGGCGCAAGCCAGUCCUCUGCCAGGGCCAUUUCUACUUUUCUUGACCUAACACUUCACCACCACUCUGUGUCCUCCCCAGACGCCUGCCUACCCCGCGUCUACUGCCCUUAGUUCUGUCUGUCCUCUCCCUGGCUUAGUCUCCACUUUUGUGAGGAGUUGGUUCUUGUUCAACCAGGCUGUAAGUUGCUAAGAGGUAGAAAUUUGUGCUUCUUUAGAUCCUCACAGUGUUUAAUGACAUCCUGGAAACAAAGUAGGCACUCAAUACUCUUUUAUUAUUUCGUUUUUUUAAAAAGGGAAUUGGUGAUAGGCCAUUUCCCUUCCUCUAUCUUGACAUGAUCCCAUGA